UAUGGUAGAUUUUUAUUUUCUUGGCACUAAAGAUUAGCUUUUUUAAAAAAACAUCCUAUAAAACAGUAGAAACUCAGUUCCCUUCUCAUGGGCACACACAUCCAAGGCACCAUGGACUGUUUUUCCAUCCUGGCCUAGAGGAGCAGUAGAAGAUAGCAUUUGGUUUGACAUGGCCUUAGUGAGUCCUGCCUUUCCUAGCAUGCACACAACAUCCUCUCUUUGAGUUUGGGUUCUCCCCAGCCCCUUGGCCUCUGAGGCUGAGGGUGGCUUCCUCCUGUCCUCCCAUCUCAGCAGUUCUAUGACACUCCCUUCCGCAGGAAAAUUAAGUGUAAGAUGGAAAAAGCAAACAGCCUAUUUACAAGUGGAAACACGUUGGUUCUGAUCACUCCUAACUUGCUGGGUGAUCAUACAUACAUCAUCAUGAAGGUGUGACAUCAGAAUCAUGAGCACCAUGGCUGCAGUUGUCUGAUCCAAGGCUAGUUGGCUUGGUAGCUGUUGGCAGCAGUUUCCCUGGGUCAGAGGCCUCCUUGCUAUCGCUGCUCUCUUCUUCUUGUCAUCCUUAAACAUUCAGUCACGUUCCCAGGUCUUCGGGGAGCAAUGGCCAGACCAGUUUCAGUGUCUCUGGCAACAGAAACAAGGAUUGAAAUGGUGGUAGUUAAGAGUGCAGACACAUCUGGGGUGCACUGUCUCCAUCAUCCUGGUGGCUAGCCAGUGCUGGGAGGCCCUGCCCGGGGGUACCAGUUGUGACAGUAAAGGGAUGGCCCUCCUGGCUUCGGCGUCCUGCAGGUAGAGCAGCCUCGUUCCUUCACAAGAUGGAAGGCAGGUGAGGAUUGUCAGGAUGAGAUGGGACCAGGUAGCCGAGGACGGUGAGGCGUGUCUGAGCCACGUGAGGGGCAGCUGAACAGAAGGAUGUCUGUGUGCAUCAACCGAGCAGACUGUGUGCCCACUCGUUUCCGAACUACCUCUCCCCAAAGAAUGUGAGGCAUUGUCACCUUGUUACAGCUAUGUGAAGCAGAGCUCUCACAACUCUUCCUAUCUACAGGCAGGAAAACCAGGAUGGAGAAGGGCGAGUUGCUUAUUAGGAUAGGAGUGAUCAGAACCAGUGAAGUUUCCAUUUUUCAUCCAUUGCUGCCCUGUGUGUGAACAAAUGUGACUCCAUGUUUAUUAUACAGCAAGGACUGCUGUGCGUGGGUGUGUUCCUCAGACCAUCUCUACUCUUUGGUUAGGACACUAGGUUCUUCCCAGCAUAUGAGUGAGAAUAUCAGUGGCAUUUUGGGCUCCUCUACUGCACAAGGGCCAGUCCCCAAGUCUACUCUGAUUGUCACGGGCACCCACACAGAUCAGGACACCCUUUGAAUUUUUGUUUGACAUGAACUAUUUAGGUGUUCCAAAACCUUGGGAUCUCAAUGUGCAAACUCCUUGGACUCCAGACCCCUGUCUGGUUGGCACUCCCAGAAGCAUGUGGUUUCGUCAGGAAAUCCUUGCAGCAGGGGUUUAGAUGGUUCCUUCAGGAGGUGGGAAACCUCCGUAGCAUCGAAGGCCAGCCUGCAUCUCGCGGUGUGUGUCCACUUCUCCCCUCACUUUCCCCUCACCCAUUCCUUUAAAGUGAUUGGCUGUGAGGAGCACAGAGGGUGGCAAUUCCAUCUGUUAUGGGCUCAGAAGACAUAGCCGCCAUGUUGAUUUCACAUUAAACUGUGUAAAAUGUGGAAAAGACUCAGCAUGUUGGUCAAACAAUAAACUGUCCUAAUUCUCAAAAC
ensembl:lncRNA